rnacentral:rRNA from 1 species
AUUGAACGCUGGCGGCAUGCUUUACACAUGCAAGUCGAACGGUAGAGGGGGCAACCCCUUGAGAGUGGCGGACGGGUGAGUAAUGCAUCGGAACGUGCCCAGUCGUGGGGGAUAACGCAGCGAAAGCUGUGCUAAUACCGCAUACGAUCUCUGGAUGAAAGCGGGGGACCUUGUAGUAAUACGGGGCCUCGCGCGAUUGGAGCGGCCGAUGUCAGAUUAGGUAGUUGGUGGGGUAAAGGCUCACCAAGCCAACGAUCUGUAGCUGGUCUGAGAGGACGACCAGCCACACUGGGACUGAGACACGGCCCAGACUCCUACGGGAGGCAGCAGUGGGGAAUUUUGGACAAUGGGCGCAAGCCUGAUCCAGCAAUGCCGCGUGCAGGAAGAAGGCCUUCGGGUUGUAAACUGCUUUUGUACGGAACGAAAAGGUCUGGGUUAAUACCCUGGGCACAUGACGGUACCGUAAGAAUAAGCACCGGCUAACUACGUGCCAGCCGCCGCGGUAA